rnacentral:rRNA from 1 species
UAAGGAAUAUUGCUCAAUGGGAGAAAUCCUGAAGCAGCAACGCCGCGUGGAGGAUGAAGGGUCUAUGACUUGUAAACUCCUGUAAAGAAGGAAAAAAUUCCCAUUAGAUGGGAGAUGAUGGUACUUCUGGAGUAAGCCCCGGCUAACUACGUGCCAGCAGCCGCGGUAAUAGGUAGGGGGCAAGCGUUGUCCGGAUUUACUGGGUGUAAAGGGUGCUCAGGCGGAUUUGUAAGUCAGAGGUGAAAUCUUACAGCUUAACUGUGAAACUGCCUUUGAUACUGCAAGCCUAGAGUAUGGAAGAGAGUGAUGGAAUAUCUGGUGUAGCAGUGAAAUGCGUAGAUAUCAGAUAGAACACCAAUGGCGAAGGCAGUCACUUGGUCCAUUACUGACGCUAAAGCACGAAAGCGUGGGUAGCAAACA